AUUCCCUUGGAAUUUCUCUUUAAAAACUAUUGCCUGAUUUUAGUAUUACCAUUACUUUCUUUCAAAGAGGAGGAAGUUUUACAAUUCCACUGUUCCAUAUGUCAAUUAUUGUUUAUGUCAUAUAUGAUGGCAACACUAGAUCAGUCAUUAGCGAUCAAAGAUGGUGUCAGAAGAAAAAACACAAAAAUCUUAGUGGAAAUCAAAAUUACAGUAAAUAUGUAGGUUUGUAAUUUCAGAAAAAGAUAUUAAAAAUGAUCCAGAUCAUAUUAAGGCAAUAAUCCAAUUAGAUGUACCAAAGAAUAUAAAACAGUUACAGAAGUGCUUAGCGUUAAUGUACUAUCCCUCUUUGAAAUCUGGCAGAACGUAGUACUACUUAACAAACAGAACAAGUCAUGUCAGAUGAGUCGGUAUCAAUUUUGAAACCUGGAACCCAAUCACUACAGCAUAGCAAAGGGGCUCAAGAAGAGAAUGUAUCACUCUAUUCCAAUUCAGCAGAUUCUUUUUCGGUUUUGGAACCAGUGAAUUUAGGUAACAUGUCUUUUGAUAAUAAUUCACCUAUCAUAUCAGUUCCAGACGACUUUUUUGAUGCCAGUAUACAGUCUAACGAUAAUCGCUGUAGUCAGUUAUUUUCCUGAAAACUACUGAAAACACGUUUGAAGAUGUAGCAGCUGUCAAAAAUGAUAUCAUCUUUGAGGUUAUUGAUAAUCAAAUAAUUUCUGCAGUGGAUAAAGAUAUGAUUAUGUUAGAGAGCGUAAAUGAUUCUAUUAUACUUGCACCAAUUUCUCACUCAACUCCUUUUACCAGUCUUCAGUUUCUAACGGCAAUAAUAGUAGAGAAGUACCACAGCCUCAGGUAUCGACAAAAGCAACUAAAAACAGAAAAACAGACGGACGUAAACAAAAGUUUCCACAAAGUAGUAUUGAUUUUGAUAAGAUUGAAGUAUACGAUCCCGACCCAAAGCCAAAUACAGCAAUACCUAAGAAUCGGAAAAGAAAAACGCCAGCAAAAAAGCUUCCAACAACAGCUGCAGCAAAAAUGAGUUUACACAAAGAUGCAGUUGAGGUAGUCGAUUCUCCACAGAAAACUAUUCAAGGUAGAUGUAGUACCAACACUUCAAAUGAUGGAUCACAAAAAGACAAUAGUUUAAAUAUUCGGGUCCAUGAUCAGGACUGUAUCCCUGCAAGGAUAUCAAAGAGUACUAAGAGAGCUGAAAUAACUGCCUUUAAAGAUAUCCACUUACCAGUUCUAUGGCCAGAGGGCAAUAGCUUCAUCAACAGCAAGAAUGCAAGAUCUCCGUGAAUUAUUGAAGUCUGUACCGUCUGACUGUCAUGAAUUUUACACAUUUCUAAACAAUGUCAAGUCUUCGGAUUUUAUUGAUGAUGUUGAGGGGUUUGGAAGUGCUAUCGAUUUCAAUAUACAAGAGGAAUGAAGACUGUACUUGAAUAAAUCCCUCUUCCUUUACAAUA